GCAGAAGUAGCUCAGCUAGGAGAGCAUUAGACUAAAGAUCUAAAGGUUCCUGGUUCAAUUCCAGUUUUCCGCA
rfam:Opisthocomus hoazin contig70529, whole genome shotgun sequence.